AUUGAACGCUGGCGGCAUGCCUUACACAUGCAAGUCGAACGGCAGCACGGGUUCUUGCACCUGGUGGCGAGUGGCGAACGGGUGAGUAAUACAUCGGAACAUGUCCUGUAGUGGGGGAUAGCCCGGCGAAAGCCGGAUUAAUACCGCAUACGAUCUACGGAUGAAAGCGGGGGACCUUCGGGCCUCGCGCUAUAGGGUUGGCCGAUGGCUGAUUAGCUAGUUGGUGGGGUAAAGGCCUACCAAGGCGACGAUCAGUAGCUGGUCUGAGAGGACGACCAGCCACACUGGGACUGAGACACGGCCCAGGCUCCUACGGGAGGCAGCAGUGGGGAAUUUUGGACAAUGGGCGAAAGCCUGAUCCAGCAAUGCCGCGUGUGUGAAGAAGGCCUUCGGGUUGUAAAGCACUUUUGUCCGGAAAGAAAUCCUUGGCCCUAAUACGGUCGGGGGAUGACGGUACCGGAAGAAUAAGCACCGGCUAACUACGUG
rnacentral:rRNA from 1 species